rnacentral:rRNA from 1 species
AUUGAACGCUGGCGGCAGGCCUAACACAUGCAAGUCGAGCGGAUGAAGGGAGCUUGCUCCUGGAUUCAGCGGCGGACGGGUGAGUAAUGCCUAGGAAUCUGCCUGGUAGGGGGGGAUAACGUCCGGAAACGGGCGCUAAUACCGCAUACGUCCUGAGGGAGAAAGUGGGGGAGCUUCGGACCUCACGCCAUCAGAUGAGCCUAGGUCGGAUUAGCUAGUUGGUGGGGUAAAGGCCUACCAAGGCGACGAUCCGUAACUGGUCUGAGAGGAUGAUCAGUCACACUGGAACUGAGACACGGUCCAGACUCCUACGGGAGGCAGCAGUGGGGAAUAUUGGACAAUGGGCGAAAGCCUGAUCCAGCCAUGCCGCGUGUGUGAAGAAGGUCUUCGGAUUGUAAAGCACUUUAAGUUGGGAGGAAGGGCAGUAAGUUAAUACCUUGCUGUUUUGACGGUACCAACAGAAUAAGCACCGGCUAACUUCGUG